rnacentral:rRNA from 1 species
UACGAAGGUGGCAAGCGUUGUUCGGAUUUACUGGGCGUACAGGGAGCGUAGGCGGUUGGGUAAGCCCUCCGUGAAAUCUCCGGGCCUAACCCGGAAAGUGCGGAGGGGACUGCUCGGCUAGAGGAUGGGAGAGGAGCGCGGAAUUCCCGGUGUAGCGGUGAAAUGCGUAGAGAUCGGGAGGAAGGCCGGUGGCGAAGGCGGCGCUCUGGAACAUUUCUGACGCUGAGGCGCGAAAGCGUGGGGAGCAAACAGG